UACGUAGGGGGCAAGCGUUGUCCGGAUUUAUUGGGCGUAAAGGGCGCGUAGGCGGUCAGCACAAGUCAGUUGUGAAAUCUCCGGGCUUAACUCGGAAAGGUCGACUGAUACUGUGCGACUAGAGUGCAGAAGGGGCAACUGGAAUUCUCGGUGUAGCGGUGAAAUGCGUAGAUAUCGAGAGGAACACCUGCGGCGAAGGCGGGUUGCUGGGCUGACACUGACGCUGAUGCGCGAAAGCCAGGGGAGCGAACGGG
rnacentral:rRNA from 1 species